rnacentral:rRNA from 1 species
UACAGAGGGUGCAAGCGUUGUUCGGAAUUAUUGGGCGUAAAGGGCGCGUAGGCGGUGCUGUAAGUCUGUAGUGAAAUCUCUGGGCUCAACUCAGAGUCUGCUAUAGAAACUGCAGUGCUGGAGUGUGGGAGAGGUGAGUGGAAUUCCCGGUGUAGCGGUGAAAAUGCGUAGAUAUCGGGAGGAACACCUGUGGCGAAAGCGGCUCACUGGACCACACUGACGCUGAGGCGCGAAAGCUAGGGGAGCAAACAGG